rnacentral:tRNA from 1 species
AUGAAUAUGGCGAAAAGGUAAACGCACUAAAUUUAGAAUUUAGUUAAUAUAAUAAGAGUUCGAAUCUCUUUAUUCAUA